UACAGAGGGGGCAAGCGUUAUUCGGAAUUAUUGGGCGUAAAGGGCGCGUAGGCGGCCUGGCAAGUGGAUGGUGAAAUCCCUCGGCUUAACCGAGGAACUGCCAUCCAGACUGCUUGGCUUGAGACCGGGAGAGGUGAGUGGAAUUCCCCAGUGUAGCGGUGAAAUGCGUAGAUAUUUGGGGAGGAACACCAGUGGCGAAGGCGGCUCACUGGACCGGUACUGACGCUGAGGAGCGAAAGCCAGGGGAGCAAAGCGGG
rnacentral:rRNA from 1 species